UACGUAGGGCGCAAGCGUUGUCCGGAAUUAUUGGGCGUAAAGAGCUCGUAGGUGGCUUGUCACGUCGGGUGUGAAAGCUUGGGGCUUAACUCCAGGUCUGCAUUCGAUACGGGCUGGCUAGAGGUAGGUAGGGGAGAACGGAAUUCCUGGUGUAGCGGUGAAAUGCGCAGAUAUCAGGAGGAACACCGGUGGCGAAGGCGGGUCUCUGGGCCGAUACUGACGCUGAGGAGCGAAAGCGUGGGAGCGAACAGG
rnacentral:rRNA from 1 species